AUGAACCUUCUAAGUUGGAAUUACCGGGGGGGGGGAGGGAACUCCUGGAUAGUUCGCGAGUUAGCGAUGUUGGUUAAGUCGCAUUCCCCCAUAAUCGUUUUCUUAUGCUAAACUAGGCAGAAAGAGAGCAAGAUGAAAAUGAUUCAUGGCAUAUUGGGCCUUAAAGGGUUUGCCGGCGUGGACAACAAUGGCUUGAGUGGCGACCUAGCUUUAUAUUGGCAUGAGUCAUGUAUUGUGGAAGUGGUGGAUAAAGAUGAUCGAUGUAUUGAUGCACUAGUCAGAACCCAUGAAGGAGCUGGACAAUGGAGAGUUACUUGUGUAUACGGUGAACCUCGCGUAGAGAAUCACCACCUCAUGUGGGAAAAGUUGAAAGCCUUGAAAAGUACCAGCGAUUUACCAUGGUUGGUAAUUGGUGAUUUUAAUGAAGCUCUGGGACUUCGAACAUAUUUCAGCGACCCCGAGAGCGGAAGCACAGAUGGUUGCUUUUAG
rnacentral:rRNA from 1 species